rnacentral:rRNA from 1 species
CCUGCGGAAGGAUCAUUACCGAUUUGUUGACACGAGCUGUUGCUGGCCCUCAAAUAUAGGGGCAUGUGCACGCUUUGUUCACACAUCCACUCACACCUGUGCACCCUCCAUAGCUCUAUGGUCUGGGGGACGCCCUGUCCUCCUCCUGUAGUUCUAUGUCUUUACACCUACACCGUAGCAAAGUCUUAUGGGAUGUGCACCGCGUUUAACGCAAUACAAUACAACUUUCAGCAACGGAUCUCUUGGCUCUCGCAUCGAUGAAGAACGCAGCGAAAUGCGAUAAGUAAUGUGAAUUGCAGAAUUCAGUGAAUCAUCGAAUCUUUGAACGCACCUUGCGCCCCUUGGCUAUUCCGAGGGGCAUGCCUGUUUGAGUAUCAUGAACACUUCAACUCUCAUGGUUUGCCAUGAUGAGCUUGGACUUUGGGGGUUUUGCUGGCCUGUGGUCAGCUCCUCUCAAAUGGAUCAGCUUACCAGUUUUUGGUGGCGUCACAGGUGUGAUAAUUAUCUACGCUUGUGGUUGUCUGCCGAGCAACCUUUGGUGACAGAGGUUGGCUGGAGCUUAUAAACGUCUCUCCUCAGCGAAGACAGCUUUUUGACCGUUCGAUCUCAAAUCAGGUAGGACUACCCGCUGAACUUAAGCAUAUCAAUAAGCGGAGGAAAAGAAACUAACAAGGAUUCCCCUAGUAACUGCGAGUGAAGCGGGAAGAGCUCAAAUUUAAAAUCUGGCAUGCCUCUGGCUGUCC